GACGAACGCUGGCGGCGUGCUUAACACAUGCAAGUCGAACGGUGAAGCGCCUUCCUUUUUGGUGGGUGUGGAUGAGUGGCGAACGGGUGAGUAACACGUGAGUAACCUGCCCCCUUCUUCUGGAUAACCGCAUGAAAGUGUGGCUAAUACGGGAUAUUCUGGUUCUGUCGCAUGAUGGGUCUGGGAAAGAUAUUGUUUCGGUGGGGGAUGGGCUCGCGGCCUAUCAGCUUGUUGGUGGGGUGAUGGCCUACCAAGGCGGUGACGGGUAGCCGGCCUGAGAGGGUGGACGGUCACACUGGGACGGAGGCACGGCCCGGACUCAUACGGGAGGCAGCAGUGGGGAAUAUUGCACAAUGGGCGCAAGCCUGAUGCAGCGACGCCGCGUGAGGGAUGGAGGCCUUCGGGUUGUGAACCUCUUUCGCCAGUGAAGCAGGCCUGCCUCGUUUGUGGGUGGGUUGACGGUAGCUGGAUAAGAAGCGCCGGCUAACUACGUG
rnacentral:rRNA from 1 species